UAUUAUAUAUGUUAUGUGUGUUGUGCAUCUGGCAUGUGUCUUGUAUGCUGCUCAUGUUGUGUGUGCUGUGCAUACGGCAUGCGGGUCAUGUAUGUGCCACGUAUUGCGCUUCAGUGUAAAGCAUGUGUUCUUUAAAACAAGAAAGAACAGAGAGUUUGGCAAGCCAAGCCAAAAGAAGCUGGAAUCUCAGUUAUUUAAAUCCUGACCAUAACUGCAGUUGGGGAAACUUCAAAGCCAACCCGGUCGGUCGUCCUACAUCCAAAGCCAGCAGCCAUCUGUCCCCUUCACCGGCAUAAACGCCUUCUGAUGCCAAAGAAGAGCAAGCCUUAAAUCCAGAUAAAAUAAAAUUCCCAAACCCUGAAAACUACAUAGAGAUUUACAGGCCAAUUUACAAAAAAGAGAGUGCCUACAUCGGCUCCAAGAAGGGCACAUUCCACAUAGCCCGGCUUGGGUGCAGCCCAAAGCACAGCCUCCUAGGGAGGAGGUCCCGGGACAUGCCACUGGGGCCUCAAAACCCACAGCCCCUUGGCAGAGGGAACGCAGGCAGAGGCUGUCCUCGGCUCAGGUUCUCAGGGGUCUCUUGCUUCUCAGAGUUCUCAUCUGUUCCAGCUCUGCCUCUCGCCUCCCUUCCACCCCCAGCUGCUGCAGAAAACCACAGUCAACCUCUCCGUGCUCCCAGCAGCCAAGUCUCCUCUGAGUAAACACAGAAUGGAAGGGGCCAGCUCGGUUCCAUUCCCAGCACUGUGGGGUGGGUCCCUGCUGGCCUGG
rnacentral:lncRNA from 1 species